AUCAUGUAGGGUAUAGGUUGUGAAAGGGAGUUUCCACUCGUGUCCACCGAAUCUCUUCUCCCCCAGUUAUUUUCUGGGACACUGUACUAUACAACUUUAUUUGAUGGCAGAACAUUCAGAGGCUGUAAGCUUGACACAUGGCAAAAUGCUUCUGCUGUUUCUGAGUCUCAGUUUGCUCACUUCUAAUGUCCAGUCAGAAAAACAAGGGGUUAAUGUAACGUGUGAAAAUCAAUCGGUUGUUCCAGGACAGAACCACAACCUGACAUGUAGAGUGCAAUACAGUGAUGUAGGUCAGAAUAAUAUGGGAUGUAAAACUACAAAUUAUUUCUGGAAACAUAAAUCAAAAUCUCCAAUACGAAAUUGUGAUUGUAUAAAAGAUUGUAACACUACGAUAACAACCAACACCUACUUUUGUGAGAUCAAAAAUGUUACCAAAGCUGAUGAGGGAAACUACACUUUUACCAUUAACACAAACUGUGGCAACGGACAUGGCACAUUGAAUGUUUCAUGUAAGUUACAUUGAGAAAUGAAAAACAAGCGUUUCUGGGAUCGUCAGGUCACCUAUCAUCAGUAUCAUCACUGUUCUGGGUGUUCUACUGUUUCUCAUCUUAAUACUUAAUAGUUCCUUGAGAAACAAUGACAAAGCUACCAGAGAGGCCCUAAACCAGAAGCCUGCAUAACGUUCAGUCUGGAGGAGCUGUGUGUGUUGGUUCUACUAUCCUUGUGGGGAUAGAAAUAUCUCAUUUACAUAAGUAGUCAAACUCCUAUUUCAAUAAAUACUUUGUGGAAGCUCCUUCUGCAUUGAUUAAUAACACUUUGUAUUCAGGACAAAAACUGAAUUACUUUGCCAUGUUUUUUUGCAGUGCUACUAUAGUGCCUUGUUUCAAACAUGAUGCAUGUUUUGGAAUAUUUUUAUUCUGUACAGGCUUCCUUUCCACUCUGUCAAUUAUUAUUAUUUAUUUACCUUUAUCUAACUAGACAGGUCAGUUAUGAACAAAUUCUUAUUUACAAUGACAGUCUACCGGGGAACAGUGGGUUAACUGCCUUGUUCAGGUGCAGAACAACAGGUUUUUACCUUCAGCUUGAGGGAUUCAAUCCAGGAACCUUUUGGUUAAUGGCACAACACUCUCACCACUAGGCAACCUGCCACCCCAUCAAACUAGUUAAGGUUAGUAUUGUGGAAUAACUACAAUGUGUUUGAUCCAUCCUCAGUGUUCUCCUAUCACAGCAAUUAAACUCUGUAACAGUUUUAAAUUCACAAUUAGCCUCAUUGUGAAAUCCAUGAGCGGUUUCCUUCUUGUCUGACAACUGAGUUAGGAAGGACACCUGUAUCUUCGUAGUGACUGGAUGUAUUGAUACACCAUCCAAAGUCAAGUUAGUAAUUCCACCAAGCUGAAAGCGAUAUUCAAUGUUCGCUAUUUGUUUUACCCAUCUACCAAUAGGUUCCCUUUACAAGGCAUUUGGAAAACCUCCCUGGUCUCUGUGCUUGGAUCUGUGUUUGAAAUUCCCUGCUCGUCCGAGAGACCUUACAGAUAAUUGUAUGUGUGGGGUAUAGAGAUGAGGUAUUCAUUAAAAAAUCAUGUUAAUACACUAUUAUUGCACACAGAGUGAGUCCAUGCAAUGUAUUAUGUGAUUUGUUAAGCAAAUGUUUACUCAUUAACUUAUUUAGACUUGUCACAACAAAGGGGUUGAACACUUUUUUACUCAAGACAUUUAUGAUGUAAUUUUUUUUCAUUAUUUGUAAAACUUUUGAAAAACCGAAUUCCACUUUGACAUUAUGGGCUAUUGUGUGUGGACCAGUGACCCAAACAUCUCAGUUGAAUCUAUUUUCAAUUCAGGCUUUAACACAACAAAAUGUGAAGAAAGUCAAGGGAUGUGAAUACUUUCUGAAGGCACUGUGUCAUUUGAUGUGUUGUAUUAUUCUGCAAAACUCACAAGCACUGAUUUACCACUAAGCUUGGUUUGUAUAAUUGAUGUGAUAUUCUAAAUGGGAAUUUUGUUAUGAAUAUCGUUAUUGAUUUAUGUUGAAAUACACUUUUGG